rnacentral:rRNA from 1 species
ACGAACGCUGGCGGCUGCUUAACACAUGCAAGUCGAACGGAGUGGCGAACGGGUGAGUAACGCGUGAGCAACCUGCCUAUGACAGUGGGAUAGCGUCGGGAAACCGGGAUUAAUACCGCAUAGUCAUAGAUGGGCUCGCGUGUGAUUAGCUAGUUGGUGAGAUAACAGCUCACCAAGGCGACGCUCAGUAGCCGGUAUGAGAGAAUGAACGGCCACAUUGGAACUGAGACACGGUCGAGACUCCUACGGGAGGCAGCAGUGGGGGAUAGUGCACAAUGGGGGAAACCCUGAUGCAGCGACGCCGCGUGAACGAAGAAGGUAGUCGUAUCGUAAAGUUCUGUCCUAUGGGAAGCAGUACCAUAGAAGAAAGCUCCGGCUAAAUACGUGCCAGCAGCCGCGGUAAUAC